GAUGAACGCUGGCGGCGUGCCUAAUACAUGCAAGUCGAGCGAACAGACGAGGAGCUUGCUCCUCUGACGUUAGCGGCGGACGGGUGAGUAACACGUGGAUAACCUACCUAUAAGACUGGGAUAACUUCGGGAAACCGGAGCUAAUACCGGAUAAUAUAUUGAACCGCAUGGUUCAAUAGUGAAAGACGGUUUUGCUGUCACUUAUAGAUGGAUCCGCGCCGCAUUAGCUAGUUGGUAAGGUAACGGCUUACCAAGGCAACGAUGCGUAGCCGACCUGAGAGGGUGAUCGGCCACACUGGAACUGAGACACAGUCCAGACUCCUACGGGAGGCAGCAGUAGGGAAUCUUCCGCAAUGGGCGAAAGCCUGACGGAGCAACGCCGCGUGAGUGAUGAAGGUCUUCGGAUCGUAAAACUCUGUUAUUAGGGAAGAACAAAUGUGUAAGUAACUAUGCACGUCUUGACGGUACCUAAUCAGAAAGCCACGGCUAACCACGUG
rnacentral:rRNA from 1 species